UACGGGGGGGGUAAGCGUUGUUCGGAAUUACUGGGCGUAAAGGGCUCGUAGGCGGCCAACUAAGUCAGACGUGAAAUCCCUCAGCUUAACCGGGGAACUGCGUCUGAUACUGGAUGGCUUGAGUUCGGGAGAGGGAUGCGGAAUUCCAGGUGUAGCGGUGAAAUGCGUAGAUAUCUGGAGGAACACCGGUGGCGAAGGCGGCAUCCUGGACCGACACUGACACUGAGGAGCGAAAGCCAGGGGAGCAAACAGG
rnacentral:rRNA from 1 species